UACGUAGGGUGCAAGCGUUAAUCGGAAUUACUGGGCGUAAAGCGUGCGCGAGCGGCUUUUGCAAGACAGAUGUGAAAUCCCCGGGCUCAACCUGGGAACUGCAUUUGUGACUGCAAGGCUGGAGUACGGUAGAGGGGGAUGGAAUUCCGCGUGUAGCAGUGAAAUGCGUAGAUAUGCGGAGGAACACCGAUGGCGAAGGCAAUCCCCUGGGCCUGCACUGACGCUCAUGCACGAAAGCGUGGGGAGCAAACAGG
rnacentral:rRNA from 1 species